GCGUGCCUAAUACAUGCAAGUAGAACGCUGAAGAGAGCAUCUUGCUCUUCUUGGAUGAGUUGCGAACGGGUGAGUAACGCGUAGGUAACCUGCCUUGUAGCGGGGGAUAACUAUUGGAAACGAUAGCUAAUACCGCAUAACAAUGGAUGACACAUGUCAUUUAUUUGAAAGGGGCAAAUGCUCCACUACAAGAUGGACCUGCGUUGUAUUAGCUAGUAGGUGAGGUAACGGCUCACCUAGGCGACGAUACAUAGCCGACCUGAGAGGGUGAUCGGCCACACUGGGACUGAGACACGGCCCAGACUCCUACGGGAGGCAGCAGUAGGGAAUCUUCGGCAAUGGGGGCAACCCUGACCGAGCAACGCCGCGUGAGUGAAGAAGGUUUUCGGAUCGUAAAGCUCUGUUGUAAGUCAAGAACGAGUGUGAGAGUGGAAAGUUCACACUGUGACGGUAGCUUACCAGAAAGGGACGGCUAACUACGUGCCAGCAGCCGCGGUAAUACGUAGGUCCCGAGCGUUGUCCGGAUUUAUUGGGCGUAAAGCGAGCGCAGGCGGUUUGAUAAGUCUGAAGUUAAAGGCUGUGGCUCAACCAUAGUUCGCUUUGGAAACUGUCAAACUUGAGUGCAGAAGGGGAGAGUGGAAUUCCAUGUGUAGCGGUGAAAUGCGUAGAUAUAUGGAGGAACACCGGUGGCGAAAGCGGCUCUCUGGUCUGUAACUGACGCUGAGGCUCGAAAGCGUGGGGAGCGAACAGGAUUAGAUACCCUGGUAGUCCACGCCGUAAACGAUGAGUGCUAGGUGUUGGAUCCUUUCCGGGAUUCAGUGCCGCAGCUAACGCAUUAAGCACUCCGCCUGGGGAGUACGACCGCAAGGUUGAAACUCAAAGGAAUUGACGGGGGCCCGCACAAGCGGUGGAGCAUGUGGUUUAAUUCGAAGCAACGCGAAGAACCUUACCAGGUCUUGACAUCCCGAUGCUAUUUCUAGAGAUAGAAAGUUACUUCGGUACAUCGGUGACAGGUGGUGCAUGGUUGUCGUCAGCUCGUGUCGUGAGAUGUUGGGUUAAGUCCCGCAACGAGCGCAACCCCUAUUGUUAGUUGCCAUCAUUCAGUUGGGCACUCUAGCGAGACUGCCGGUAAUAAACCGGAGGAAGGUGGGGAUGACGUCAAAUCAUCAUGCCCCUUAUGACCUGGGCUACACACGUGCUACAAUGGUUGGUACAACGAGUUGCGAGUCGGUGACGGCAAGCUAAUCUCUUAAAGCCAAUCUCAGUUCGGAUUGUAGGCUGCAACUCGCCUACAUGAAGUCGGAAUCGCUAGUAAUCGCGGAUCAGCACGCCGCGGUGAAUACGUUCCCGGGCCUUGUACACACCGCCCGUCACACCACGAGAGUUUGUAACACCCGAAGUCGGUGAGGUAACCUUUUGGAGCCAGCCGCCUAAGGUGGGAUAGGUGAUUGGGGUGA
rnacentral:rRNA from 1 species